rnacentral:rRNA from 1 species
UGCCAGCCGCCGCGGUAAUACGGAGGGUGCAAGCAUUAAUCGGAUUUAUUGGGCGUAAAGGGGGCGUAGGCGGUAAGGUAAGCCAGACGCGAAAGCCCAGGGCUCAACCCUGGAAUUGCGUUUGGAACUACUUUACUAGAGGAUAGGCGGAGAAAACGGAAUUCCACAUGUAGCGGUGAAAUGCGUAGAUAUGUGGAAGAACACCGGUGGCGAAGGCGGUUUUCUAGCUUAUUCCUGACGCUAAGGCCCGAAAGCUAGGGGAGCGAACAGGAUUAGAUA